rnacentral:lncRNA from 1 species
UUUAACUCAUUGAUCAAAAAAAAGAAAAAAAAGAAGAAGAACAUGAAGAAUUAAAGCACAUUGAUAGAAAUGGAAUGAGAUAAUCAACAAGCAUUGACCAAAGAUAGAGAAGAUCAAGGUCAAACAAUAGAAAACAAAAGCAAAAUGAAGAUUAGAAGUCAAGAAACAAACAAGAUAUUUUUGGUAUUUUUCAAUAUUAAAAUAAAACUUGAAUUAAAAUAAUAAAGAAAUGUCAAACUUCAAACUCACUUCAAAUCAACUUUGAAAAGUCCAAGUAAAUUAUCCCAAGUUCAACAAGGUCAAACAAAGUUUGACAAAAAAUUUCAGCAUUUUUAGAAGUCAUAAACUAUUUUAAAUCAAUUAAAAAUGCA